GUACCUGACCAGGAAUGUUCCGUUUGCAGAAGAAAGCGCUGCUGGCCUUGAAGAAGCAGAGUUCAGGAGCUCAGAGCAGCCAGGGAGGCAUCAAACGCUUGCUCUCCCACCAGCCGCUGAUCGACACUGCCACGUCCACAGUGGAGGCCAAGAUGCUGGUGAAGACGGGAGCCAUCAGUGCCAUCAAAGCAGAGAACAAGAACUCCGGCUUCAAGUGCUCACGCACCCUGGAGGGGAAGCUCAAGAUGAGAGAUCCGGAGAAGGUGCA